rnacentral:tRNA from 1 species
GGGCUCGUAGGGUAGAGGACAUCCUAGCGGGCUUCGGAGAAUCGCUCGAAGAAACCCGCUGACCUGGGUUCGAUUCCCAGCGAGUCCGCCA